UACGGGGGGAGCAAGCGUUGUUCGGAUUUACUGGGCGUAAAGGGCGCGUAGGCGGCCAGCGCAAGUCAGUUGUGAAAUCUCCGGGCUUAACUCGGAAAGGUCAACUGAUACUGUGCGACUAGAGUGCGGAAGGGGCAACUGGAAUUCUCGGUGUAGCGGUGAAAUGCGUAGAUAUCGAGAGGAACACCUGCGGCGAAGGCGGGUUGCUGGGCCGACACUGACGCUGAUGCGCGAAAGCCAGGGGAGCGAACGGG
rnacentral:rRNA from 1 species